AGUUUUCUAAACCUGAAAUUGGAGGGAAAAGAGAACUUCCUUCCAAAGUCGUCUUUGCUUGACCGCCAGCAAGAAUCCUCCUCUUGAUUUAGCAUACAUGCAUGAUCAAGGGAUACAAAAAAUGGUUAAAAAAUAGUAGGAUUAAACCAUCACAUGAAUGAUUUAUGCAAAGAUCAUCAACAAAGAUGAUUACCACCCACUGCAUCAGACUCUAAGAUUGUGAAGAUUUUACGCAUGUGAGCCACCCGAGAUCUGGGCUUUAGCCCAAAUCAGCUUGUACAACUGAAAAUUUAACUUAGCUAUAUAUAGAUCUCAAGUACAGCUAUCAGCUUGCACAGCCGAAAAUUUACCUUCGCUGCAUAUAGAUCUCAAGUUAACAACCAAAGUAUUUAACUCAAAUUAAAUUUACUUUUUCAAAAAGCUUCCACAUGUCAUAUUUUAUCACAAAAAAUUACAUAAAAAAAGCUUCAACACAUUUCCUAUUGAUAAAUCACAGUUAUUUUAUCCCCAUGUAUAACUUCUCUCAUGAUGUUAAGGGUAAGGGCCAAGGGGCAUUACAGUCACUACUUAUUCUCAUGGAAUCUAGAGGCACACUUCUCCAAAUAUAUUAGCACGUUUGAAAUGACAAACCAGCACUUCACGACUUCGGUCGCUGCAGUGCCAAGGUGUUUGCGUAAUUAGUAAGGUAUCUAUGUAAUAAGAAUGUUCUACUUAAAUACCUCAUAUUGGGUUCUAACAUGCAGGUUCUUUUCAUUGUCUCAACUAGAAAAAAAAACACAAUAAACUUUCCACCUUUGAUGUCCCACUAUUCUGCUAGUUUAGAAACUCAGGGGAAGGACAGGGUCACUAGGUCAGAAAAGCGAUAACUCAAAAUUCUCCUCAAGAAGGAUUUGAACCUACGACCAAUCGGUUAACAGCCGACCACUCUACCCCUGAGCUACUAAGGAACAAUGGACUUAAGUUAAGGAAGCCGACUCUCGUUCCUUGGACACCAACCUAUGAUCGAACAAAAAAGGGUUUGUGAUUCUUUUCGACAUACACCAGGAGAAAAGGUAACGAUAGCAAGCCACUCCGUGCAGCGGUCAACCAUCCACUCUCGAGAUUCAUAUUGAUCAAUCGAUCUCUGCGUCCGCAUUUGCCUAUAUUUGUAUAAAGCAGAGGAUUGAAGGUUCUUGUGAAAAUGUUUAGCCUAACAACAUGUACCAAUAAAACCAGAAGGGUUUGUGAAAAUUCCAUUUACCUUGGCUAACGAAUAAAUUGUCUUUCAAAACAUCGAUGCCAAAAGUCCUUUCAAAACCAGAAGGGUUUGUGAAAAUUCCAUUAUCUGGGCUAACGAAAAUAUCCAUGAUUCCUAUUCCUUUCGGGUCAUCGAGACAUCCUAUGUUCCAUCUCAUUGUGGCAGUUUACAAUUAAGAAAUUGCAUUCAGGGUCAUAAGAGCACAACGGAUCCAUCCUUUAUAUUAAGAAUACAAAUUCAUACCAAUAACACAUUUAGGGCAAUAAGCAACUUUUACACUAUGAAUGAAUUGUUCAUCGUGUUUCCUUUAGGGUAUCGAGGCAUCCAAACACUUGCACCAUUUUUUAAACAAAUAAUAUUCAUUAAUUCCUUUCGGUCAUCGAGUAAUGGAUUACAUUAUGAAUAUAUUGGCCACGGUAUUCCUUUUAGAUCCAUCUAACCAUCUAACAAAAAAUUUCUACAGAUUCAUUCCUUUAGGGUUGUCAAGGCACCCUAAUGGUUAGUAGCCUAACAACAUGUACCAGUUAUUAAAAAACCAGAAAGGUUUGUGAAAAUUCCAUUACCUAGUCCAACGAAUAAAUUAUCUUUCAAGACAUCGGUGCCAAAAGGGUAUCCAUACAAAAGCAGAGUUUGCUGAAUCAUUCUGGUACUACCAAUUCCACUAUUAAAAAAUUCAAGAAUUAAAACCUGAAAAAGUGUAGAGAUGUUACCGUUGAAGGAGAAACUGCAAAUUUUUUAUAUUUCGUUUUUUAAAGAAGAUGAAAGGAGCGUGUUUCACCAUCUUUAAAACACAUCAGAACCUUCAAAGACAAAAAUAGAGAAGUAUUGAAGCAACCCAUAUAGCAGUGGCAAAAAGGUCAUAAAAGCACAAUGAGUACAAACAUUUAUAUUACGAAAAAGCACUACAGUAAAUUAAUGGAGCAUAUAAAAUUCAUAUAUCUUUUUGGAUCAUUAAGGUUUCCCACAUAGCAUGAAAUGACAAAUCACG
rnacentral:lncRNA from 1 species